GAAAGACACAGGUAUGAUUGGCAUUUAGACAAUUAAAACAUUUAUGUUUUUAAUACAUAAUAUAAUUGUCAGAUCAUUAUGUUGUUGAUUGAGGUGCUUUUCAUUGGUAAUGUUUUAUUAUAGAAAGAAAAAAGAAUGCAGACAAUCCCCAACAGAAGAAUAAAAAUCCACAGGAAGAAGAAGCAGAACAGCUGCAGGGUGUGGCUGUGACAAAUAAAUACAGAGACAGUUCAUCAGACACUGCAGAGGAAAAGUUCCAUGUUCAGUGAAAUCCAGUUGGAUGCUGACACAUACAGUAUGUAUAUUGUACAGAAAUGAAUCGGUCCAAGGUGAAUUUUGGGCACUGUGCUCCAAAGUGAACACCUGCUGGUCUGCAGCCUGCAUCACUAUCUUCCAGAGAUGUUACUGGACAGAGACUAGUCAGUCUGGAAUAACAGCUUGGAGCAAGUCCCGGACUAAGUCUGUAACGGCUCCAGGCUCUUCACUCAGAACUUCUGCUCCAUCUCUCUCACCUGGACAUUUUGCUGCUUGUACAGUGAGCUCUCCUUGUGUGUCCAUCAUUGAACUUUGUCCUGCAGACUGUAGCUUCAUCAGGACACCGAGGCUGUCAGGCCGUGAUGGUGGUCUGGUAGUGAUUUUUAGAAAUAGCUUUAACUAUCGGUUGCUUAGCACCGAGACUGUCCUCUCAUUUGAACUCAAUAUGACUCGGAAAAAAGGAAAAUCCUGCAUUCUGCUCUUGCUACAGCAUCGCCAUUUAUCAAGAGUAUCUUGAUGAAGGUCCAGAAGGACAGAAAAGUUUUCUUUAAUAAAUGGUGUUGCUGUAGCAAGAGCAGAGUGCAGGAUUUUCCUUUUUUCAAAGUUUGUGAUAUUUUCAAGUGCACCAGCACAGAAGAAUUGUUUCUUCGAAUAAUCUCAAUGUGACUAAAAUUGGUAAAUCAAAGCCUUUUAACUCUAUUUUAAUUUACCGACCUCACGGCCCAUCUGACCCUUUCCUGUCUGAUUUUACUGAGUUUUUAUCUUGAGUUAUAAAGUUGGUCAUAGUUUUAAUUAUUAGUUAUUUUCAUGUUGAUGAUGCUUCUAAGGCUGCAUCUGAAUUUCUUGAUAUUGCUGAGCUUUUUAACUUUAUACAACAUGUUUCUAGACCCACACAUUUAAUUCAUUUUAUAUAAGAAUGGGACAAUGCAAAUUAAUAAAACACAUGAUUAUACAGUACACGGAUUAAAAAUGCCAGAAUUGCCUAAAAGGCUAUUUAUCUUCUGUAGUCCCCUGGCCUCGAUGUUAAAAAGGCUUUUUAAAAUACAAAUAUAGAAGAAAGAAGGACAACACAAGCAGAGCAGAACUUGGCACAACUAGUUUUAGUACUGACAUGUAUUGACCAUCCAUUGUAAAACAAUGUCUUUAGUAAAAGACCAAAAUGUUUAAUUGUCUAAUAUGGUGUGGGAUUGAGUUCCACUCUCUUGACCCUCUGAUGGACCAAGCUGACUGACUAAAAGACCUUUUCUGCAACUAAAUAACCCAACCUUCCCUCUCUCUCCCCUUGUGACACGAUCAGUAUCUUUUCUUGUUUAUGUCGGCAACAAGUGGCGAUGGAGCUAGGUUAUAAAUGACUUUAUAUACCAAGCACACCUUUACAUAUUUCAUUAGGUCUUUCCAGCUUAAAAUCUAGGUUUCAGUGUGCGGGGAUACUCUGGACUUAGUUUUGUCACACUGUUUUACUAUUCAUGACGUCUGAUCAUACGUGUGUUCUUUAUAAUUUGUCUUGUUUUAUAGGUCUAAUGCCCCAUAAACAUAUUUGUUUUCAGACGCAUCAUUAAUUAGAGUACAGUUGAAAAUUCCACUGCCUUAUUUAAAAAAAAAAAUCUCAAAUUCUGUAAGAAUCAUUAGGAAAAUUAGUCCACUUCUUAAUAGAUCCUGUUCAUUGACAUGAUAUUAUAGUUUAAUUUAUCCAUAUCUUCCAUAUUGUAAUGUAGUAUGGGCCAGGACAUUUAAUCCAGAAACGAUUCAUUAAGAUUGCUAUAAAUUCAAAGCCCAGGGAUCCAUCUUUUCUCUUAUUCUUUAAGCUUAAAAUACUACCUAUUAAUAACAUAAACAUUCUGCAAACAUGUAUCUUUAUCUCAAAGGUCAAAUACCAAGGCCACACUAUACCAGACCAUUUCCAACAAUGUUUCCAUAAUAGCACAAAUAUUCAUUCUAUGUCAACGAGACAAACCAGCCUGCUGUACCUUCCUCCUCCUCGUACCACCAGCAGACCACUUUAUAAAAUACGGAGGAGUUUAGUAUCUACAGCAGACAUGCAACUCAUCCUCCCUACCUGUAAACAAAAGAAAACUAAAAGAAACAUUGUGCUCAGUGGAUAUCUAGUCUCCUGACGGGCAGAUAUUGAAAUGAUUUACCAGCUUUAUGAACUCUUCUUCUGCUUUUAUUAUCUUAAUCUCCUGCCUUUGACUGUAAUCACAAAUCCUGCUAUUUCAUUUCUUUAUUGUCAUCAUUUUACAUUUUCACCAAAUUGAGUUUAAACCUUACUCUCUAAUUAUGUUUGUUAUUCUACUUUUGCCAUAUUGAGUUAAUUUCAUGUCCUUUUUUUAUUUUUAUUCAGGGAAGGUUCACUGAGAGGAAGCCUCUCUUUUGCAGGAACGCCCUGAUCACAUUGACACUGUUCCACAUUCCAUACCUGGAAAUAAUUAUAUUAUUAUACUAUGUUAUAAUGACCUGGUGAGGUCAGAAACCCAUAGAGGGGGUGGAGAAGGUCAGAUACCCCCUUACAGGUUUCUGACCUCUCCAGCACACACUUUCUCUUUCUAUGUAAAAAACAUGUGUUGUGAUUUAUGUUGUAUUAGUAUUUUUUAUGAAUGUGCAAACCCAUAAACAAUCAAACAAACCA